rnacentral:rRNA from 1 species
GACGAACGCUGGCGGCGUGCUUAACACAUGCAAGUCGAACGGAAAGGCCCUGCUUUUGUGGGGUGCUCGAGUGGCGACCGGGUGAUUAACACGUGAGUAACCUGCCCUUGACUUUGGGAUAACUUCAGGAAACUGGGGCUAAUACCGGAUAGGAGCUCCUGCUGCAUGGUGGGGGUUGGAAAGUUUCGGCGGUUGGGGAUGGACUCGCGGCUUAUCAGCUUGUUGGUGGGGUAGUGGCUUACCAAGGCUUUGACGGGUAGCCGGACUGAGAGGGUGACCGGCAACAUUGGGACUGAGAUAGGGCCCAGACUCCUACGGGAGGCAGCAGUGGGGAAUAGUGCACAAUGGGAGGAAGCCUGAUGCAGCAACGCCGCGGGCGGGAUGACGGCCUUCGGGUUGUAAACCGCUUGCGCCUGUGACGAAGCGUGAGUGACGGUAAUGGGUAAAGAAGCACCGGCUAACUACGUG